rnacentral:rRNA from 1 species
GUGAGUAAGUGAGAAUAGCAGGAAGGUGACGAGAGCAGUGAGGAAUAUUGGACAAUGGGUGAGAGCCUGAUCCAGCCAUCCCGCGUGAAGGACGACGGCCCUAUGGGUUGUAAACUUCUUUUGUAUAGGGAUAAACCUACCCUCGUGAGGGUAGCUGAAGGUACUAUACGAAUAAGCACCGGCUAACUCCGUGCCAGCAGCCGCGGUAAUACGGAGGGUGCAAGCGUUAUCCGGAUUUAUUGGGUUUAAAGGGUCCGUAGGCGGAUCUGUAAGUCAGUGGUGAAAUCUCACAGCUUAACUGUGAAACUGCCAUUGAUACUGCAGGUCUUGAGUGUUGUUGAAGUAGCUGGAAUAAGUAGUGUAGCGGUGAAAUGCAUAGAUAUUACUUAGAACACCAAUUGCGAAGGCAGGUUACUAAGCAACAACUGACGCUGAUGGACGAAAGCGUGGGGAGCGAACAGGUAGAUACCCUGGUAGUCCACGCCGUAAACGAUGCUAACUCGUUUUUGGUUUUUCGGAAUCAGAGACUAACGAAAGUGAUAAUUACCACCGGGGAGUACUUCGCAAGAAUGAAACUCAAAGGAAUGACGGGGGCCCGCACAACGGGAUAUGUGGUUUAAUUCAUGACCGAGGACCUACUUAAUGGGAAAGUAAAAAAUUUUCUCGACUUUUUCAGCUGCAGUCGUCAGCUCGCCAGGUAUCUGCACACCUAUGCAUAUGGGACUUAAGAAACCGUGA